rnacentral:rRNA from 1 species
UACAGAGGGGGCAAGCGUUGUUCGGAAUUACUGGGCGUAAAGGGCGCGUAGGCGGCCUUCUAAGUCGAACGUGAAAUCCCCGGGCUCAACCCGGGAACUGCGUCCGAUACUGGAAGGCUUGAAUCCGGGAGAGGGAUGUGGAAUUCCAGGUGUAGCGGUGAAAUGCGUAGAUAUCGAGAGGAACACCUGCGGCGAAGGCGGGUUGCUGGGCUGACACUGACGCUGAUGCGCGAAAGCCAGGGGAGCGAACGGG